UACGAGGGGGCGAGCGUUGUUCGGAAUUAUUGGGACGUAAAGGGUGCGUAGGCGGUUUGGUAAGUCUGAUGAUGAAAUCUAUGGGCUCAACUCAUAGUCUGCAUCGGAAACUGCCGGGCUUGAGUGUGGGAGAGGUGAGUGGAAUUCCUGGUGUAGCGGUGAAAAUGCGUAGAUAUCAGGAGGAACACCUGUGGCGAAAGCGGCUCACUGGACCAUAACUGACGCUGAUGCACGAAAAGCUAGGGGAGCAAACAGG
rnacentral:rRNA from 1 species